UAUUAAAAAAAGGAACCUUAGUUGUUAAAGAAACCCAAAUCCGCUAGAAGUAUCAAAGUGUUGAGAAAGCUUCUCCUAGAGUUAAGAGAAAAGAAAAGAAUGAUCUGGAAAAAGGGGUUUAAAAGAUUCAUGAAUGCAAAGGGUAGAGUUAAGUUCUUAUUCUGGGAUUAGAGAUGGGAUU
rnacentral:sRNA from 1 species